rnacentral:rRNA from 1 species
CCAGACUCCUACGGGAGGCAGCAGUGGGGAAUAUUGCACAAUGGGGGAAACCCUGAUGCAGCGACGCCGCGUGAGCGAUGAAGUAUUUCGGUAUGUAAAGCUCUAUCAGCAGGGAAGAAGAUGACGGUACCUGACUAAGAAGCCCCGGCUAACUACGUGCCAGCAGCCGCGGUAAUACGUAGGGGGCAAGCGUUAUCCGGAUUUACUGGGUGUAAAGGGAGCGUAGACGGCAGUGCAAGUCUGGAGUGAAAGGCGGGGGCUCAACCCCCGGACUGCUCUGGAAACUGUACGGCUGGAGUGCAGGAGAGGUAAGUGGAAUUCCUAGUGUAGCGGUGAAAUGCGUAGAUAUUAGGAGGAACACCAGUGGCGAAGGCGGCCUACUGGGCUUUAACUGACGCUGAAGCACGAAAGCGUGGGUAGCAAACAGGAUUAGAUACCCUAGUAAG